UUUGGAAAUUUAUCAUCAAAUGUAUUUUGGCAAUUUGAUGAGUAAGGGCAUUUUGGUCUUUUACCCCAAAUUGACUACCACUAUAAAAGGGGGAAACCCUAAGUUUUCCAUCUUUCUCCAUCAUUUUCACUAGCCACCUUUUCAAAAGAAAGAGUAAGAUGGGUUUUUGCUCUCAAAUUCUUUCUUCCUCAAGUAAGUUUUCUUUAAGUAAUUUCUUCAAUAAUUCUAGCUUCUAAUCUAGUUUUGUUUUUCAAAAUUAUAGGAAGAUCUUGCAAAUAUCAAAGGGAAGCAAAGAGAUAAUGAUUUUUCUGAAAUUUUUGGGGUUUUCUUCCAUAUUUUUCUCUCUCUUCUCGCCCCUCCCUUUGCUUGCGAAUUCCGGCCACCACGGUGGUGCUUCGCCGGCGAGCUCCGUCGGGAGUAGCGGCCACUGCCGGCCAGCAGUAAGUGACCGGCGACUGGGCACGAGCGCCGCUGCCACCGUCGCGUCAGUGGUGGUGCGGGUGGUGCUUGUGGUGGCGCCGGUUGGGUUUCAAGAAUAAUUAAAGCCAGUCAAACUUUUGACUGUUGAUUUUUGUGUAAUCAAGAGUUUAGAGAAGAAGUUGCAGGUACAAGUUCUUGAUGUGCAUGGAAAUCAUAAGCAUCCGGAUGGGAGUUUUAGUACACGAGUACUUUCUUAUUUAAGUUAUCUUGAAUUUUAUAUUUGACUUUACUUGACCAAUGGGGUCAAGGUUUGACUUUUGAAAUGGGACUAGUAUGGGAUAGUCUCGGAGUUUGUAAUUCAUUUACAUACUUUCUUAUUUCCGUUGUAUUAAAGUAUUUUCAGUUUAUUUUAAAA